UUGCUUUGACGGCAUAGAUACUAAAAUUGGACGAUACAUUGAAGAUUAGCUAGGCCCCUGCAGAAGGAUGACACACAAAUUUGUGAAGUGUUCCAUAUUUUU
ensembl:snRNA U6 U6 spliceosomal RNA